CCCAAGACGUUAUUCCUCUCUCCUACAGUCCAUCACAAUUACAUGCACACGGCCAAUUAUGCAAAUUAGGCGAUGACGUAAUUUAGCGACUUCUAGGACAGCCCUUUAGGACAGCCAAUAGACACUUUCCUUACUGAGGAGUUGGUAACACUGUGUGGAAUGUUUUCCCACUCCUCUUCAAUGGCUCUGCUUGGGCAAGUAAAAUGGUCAGAGUGAUGUGUUCUCUCAUUUGUGUCUGGGAAUAGCUAGCCAACUUUAGCCAGUUAGUUUGGGUGCUUUACUGCGGUUGUGAGGUCAAUACGCUCGGAUCAAACCUACUCCUCGGCCAGAGCGUCCAGUGUGCGCUCUGAACGCUCCAAGAGCGAAAUGCUCUGAAUUUAUGAACGGACAAUCUGACAACGCCCUGAAUUUACGAGUGCACUCUGGCACACCAGAGUGAAUUUACGAACACAUUGUUACAUUUAGUUCCAUUACAUUUACUACCCAAUCAGACGUGUAGAUUUACCCAAAUACGGAAGUGAACCUAUGACGGCAGUACUACCCGGAAGUUUCUAGCGUCACCGGGCAAGUUGAAGAAUCGAUUUGUCCACAAAGUUUAAAAUGCAACGUGAAAAGAGUGUCAAAGCUAAAGAAGUGAUUGAAUCACUUUGUAAAGUUCUAUAUUCACUAGGUUUGGAGUGUGUACCUAGUGCAGAAACGUUCAGACGGGCCAAGUUUAACAAAGGAGAGGAUGUGGUGCUGGAGUUCUGGAAGCUCCUUCAUAGUGUUCUUCUGAAAGCACUGCUACUGGAAUGUUCUUGCACAACACUUUCAGACUUGGACAGCCAUGUGAGAGAGGCACUCUGGCAGUGUGGUUACGGUGCCAGCUGGAUUGUUGUGAAUACUGCCGGGCUCCGUCCCAGGAGUGAAGUUGGGAGCCGAGAGCUGCUGGUGGCGUUUGGGUGGGUGUUGUCUUCAGGGAGCCUGCUGGAGGCCCUGCUGAGAGCAAGAUCCCUGGAGCUGGAUAUCCUCUCACUCCCACCCACGGUCUCACUGAGUAGCCCCAGAGAGGGAGGCUCCCUUGGGGAUGUGGAUGGCCAAGGAGGCCUGAAGGAAGACCGACUCCUCAGGAGACUCCAAUGGCAGUAUGGGAAACUCAGGUUCCAGUGGCGGAGGUUGCUCUCCAUUCGAGAGGAAAGAGCUAGACUCCUUCACCAGGUCCUUUCCUCCAGCACAAUGCCCUCCACGUCCACCUCCCAGCCCUCUUCUGAUGACCAUCACAGCAUGUGCUCAACUGCCCUGAAAAAGGAGGUGGAGCGUCUACAGACUCUCAGUCAGCUGUUGGAGGCCUACCUGGAGUGGAAGAGACAGGAGCCACUCUUCUGGUGCUGGAUGGAUAGUGUUGUGGACAGCCAGCUCUCAGACCUGAGAGAGGAGGACACUGUAGAGAACAUGUCACCUGUACACCAAGUUGUCAAUAGGUGCUUUCCCUACGGUUACAAGGACAAGGAGGGUCUGGAACAACUGGACAACAUGCUGCUGAGGCUGCAGACAGGGCUGAAGGACACAUACACAAGACAGAGCAGAAAAGCGCAGAGUGUUCUUCAAGACGUUGAGGAGUUGGAGGAGAUUGAGAGGAGAGUGGCUCUCAGGCUGCAUGGCUUGGCUGAGUCCUGUACUUCAACUCCUACAUCUGGUUGCUGUAGUUACAGGCCAAGUCUCCAGGGGCCACAGCCACUUCCCAACCACCACCAGUCUUGGAGGUCAGGGUCUGUGCUCCCACAAGCCUGUGACGGGGCAGUGCUGCCAGGCAAGGUGUCUGGGACGGGCACGGUGAUGGUCCAAGUCCAGGCCUCCUCACUGAUUGUCGAGCUGCAGCAGAGAGAGGGCUUCCUGCUGGGGGAACUGGGCCAGAUGAGGCAGGCGAAGCGGGGACAGAUCCAGGAGAAGACAGCCAGCUGGCUGGAGGGGGCUGGAGUUGUCCUCAUCCCCCCUCUCCCUCUCAAGAGAUAAACACUAACAGGAUGCUACUUCAGGGUGUCUGUGUGUGCAAGCGAGUGAACAGGAUGCUGUUCAGCUUGGUGGCUGACAGACUGUCUGUCCUAGAAAUAGAAUGACUAGAAGGUGCAAAGCUGCUCGGCAAUUUGUGGCUAUCUGUUCUAUUAAUUAUAUUUCUACGGCUACUGCUAAUAUAUUGUGAUGGGAUGGACUGCAUGUGAUAUAUUUCAAAUGACAUCUGUUGAUAUCAAGAUAUUUGUGUGUGUUGAUGUAAUCCACUGUGGGAGAGAACAUAAACACCUGUGUGGGCUGGCUGUUAAGUUGCUGUGUUGUUUUUUUUCUUGUGUCUUAUCUUUUCUCGGUGCCAAGCUUUCAGGAGAGAAAACAGUCUUAAAGUUCUGAAGUAGGUCAGGGUUUAGGAUGUUCUCUCACUGAAGUUGGUUUAUAAGUAGACCGCCUGGCGAAUGCUCCCUCCGUCUCAGCCUCACACUGAUUUAGCUGAUGUUACCCGUCCUGGCCUCACCCCUCAGAGGAUUCAUCCUAGUGCCUUCACCUCUUCAAAUUUCAGGGUGUGUGUGCGUGUGUCAGUAACCAGGAAGUAACAAGCAUUUCAUGCAGAUGAAUUACCUAAUGUAUGGAGAGAAAAAAAGUCACGAUCUGACUGAUGGAAACAGGAUAUGCCGGUCCAAUUUUAUAAAUGCCUACAGACAAUUUGUUUGUUCAACAUGGUGAGAUCUAUUUGUGUCAGUAAAAUGUAUUAUUGGAGAAAUUAUGUUGGAAAUGCCUUUUAUGAGCAAAUAUUGAUAUCCACUUAACAAAAAUAUAAACGCAACACGUAAACUGUUGGUCCCAUGUUUCAUAAGCUGAGAUAAAUGAAUGUUUCAUAUGCACAAAAAACCUUAUUUCUCUAAAAUGUGCACUUUUUUUGCCUUUCUCCUUUGCCAAGAUAAUCCAUCCACCAGACAGGUGUGGCAUAUCAAGAAGCUGAUUAAAUAUCAUGAUUGUUACACAGGUGCACCUUGUGCUGGG
rnacentral:lncRNA from 1 species